rnacentral:rRNA from 1 species
GUUUCCUGCUUCGAAACAAUUAUACGAGAAACCAUUAUCAUGCUCUACACGCUUGAUCACGACCUUGAAAUUUUACAGAUAUAUGGAGCAUCAACUGUCAAUCAUGCCGAAAUGAGUGAGGACCUGAUCACUAUCUUUGUUGAUAUCCUCCUCUUUUGGACUCAACUGCUUCACUUUUUGCGGAGAAACUACACUCGUACCAGUUUGUCAAAACUUUUGAUUUCGGCUUCUGUUAGUGAGUUUUCCUUUUAAGAAUCUCCGAUCUUGAUCCGUUGGCCGGCGGUAAAAAACGAUUUUGAAGAUGCCAGCAGAAAGAUUCGAAACCGAGCUGCCGAGAUGAAAGAAACAUUUGAAGCAUUGAAGUCUGUUCAGCUAGAAGAGAGAGUGGAGCAUCUCACUGCCCAGCACACCUCACGAGAAGCCGUGUUCCUAGCGGAGAUGGAGAGGCUACCGCACAAUGUGAAACCAGUGUCCAGUGCAAUGCAGCUCAGCGAGAUGAGUUCAGUACCCGAGGAAGAGACUAACUUUCUAUGCCACAAUAUUCCUUACCCAUAGAACCCCUCAUUUCAUGUCCCGCGAGCCUGAACUAA